CGACUCCUUGCUGAGUGCAGAGCUUGACUCAGGGCUCGAUCUCCUGACCCUGCUAUCAUGACCUGAGCCGAAAUGCAAAGUCGGAUGCUUAACUGACUGUGCCACCCAGGCACCCCAUUCAUUUGUAUGCUUUUUCAUCAUAGCUAUGACCAUGCACACCCCCUGCACUGGGGGUUAUACGUACAUCCACCAUUCGAGACCCAUUCCGGCCAGGGAUAGGUGCUAGAAAGGGAAUUCUUGACUCUUCACUCUCAUGCUUCAGUUUUGUUUCUGGGGCCUGCUGUCUUGAGAUACAAGCUCUUAAGCUUGUAUUGCCCGGAUUCUCACCUGGCCUUCUGACCCUGUGUGGAUGGACUCUUUGUCUGGGCUUCUGACCGCAGCACCUAGUCUUCUAGCUUGGGUUUCUGAUCUCUUUGGCCCGAGCCUUGUCAGCUCUGGAUCAGAUGCUGGCCUAGAUUUAUCACACAAUGCCUUCUGCUCUUCGUGCCUGACUUAUCCUCUGGUAGACUUGUCUGCCAGCGCCGCCCAGCUUCCUUAUCGUAGUCCAGCUCUUUCCUUUCCCGGGCUUGCCCUUGUCUUAGCCACCUCAUCUGGCCCUACACUAUGUGAAUGACAUGAGCGAUGAGGGAUGUUGGAUGCGUGCCAUGUAGGUGUCAGCUUGGCCAUUAGUUUUUAUGAACAUGUUUAAAAUAAUGAACAUUUUUUGCCUUGGUCAUUUGUAGAAGCAGAACAGAGUGAUGAACAGCUUCAUCAAGAAAUAUCACAGGCUAACGUCAUCUGCAUAGUUUAUGCCGUUAACAACAAGCAUUCUAUUGAUAAGGUAACAAGUCGAUGGAUUCCUCUCAUAAAUGAAAGAACGGACAAAGACAGCAGGUAUUUUUUUCUUUUCUCUGAAACUUUGUAUAUUGAAAAUUUCAAACUUAAAGAAAAGUUGCAAGAAAUAGUACAAUGAACACCUGUAAGUCCUUCACUUACAUCCACUGGUUAACCUUUGCCACAUUUGCUUUACCUAUAGGUCUUUGUUUAUAUACACACAUCGGUUUUGGGAGGAAUUAUUUUAGGCAGCACAUAUAUUUGUGAGCAAAGCAGAAAACAGUACCAGAACUAUAAUGAUUGACAACUUCUGACAUGAAAUAUUUUGAUCAUUAAUCUUACAUAAUUUCUCAAACCACUGCUAAAGGAGUCUCCACUUUAGAAGUCCUCUUCAUCUGUAUUGUAUGUGCCUUCUCUGUGGAGGUGCCCCUUGCAUGAGGAACGACUUCCCCUUGUCACUGAUUGCUCACAGGUUGUGUGUAUGGGGCACAGGACUGGGAGGAGAGUGAGUGCCCUCUGACAUCUGGCUUAUCCGCUUGACUUCCUUGAGCCUUCCUUCCUUUCUGUAGUGGAGAAGAGACUAAUUCCUGUCUUGACUGCCUGUGGUAAUUUUGAGGAUCCACUGAAAUAAUGCACUUGUACUGCUUUAUAAGUUCUCUGAAGACUGCUAGAGAUCUUUAUUUAGGAAUGCAGAGAGGGAGAUUUCUUCGAAAUUCUUUGGAAGAUACACAUGUGAUAGGAAGAAGAGAACACACCUUCUGUAUUUUUCAUAUGAACGGAAUGAUAGUUCUGGGUAUAAGUGUUUUCAGUUUUAAGUCAAAAUGGAAACCAAAAAUUAUUCUUGCAGUAUUAUUUAAUGGAACAUGGCAUUUAUGAGGCAUUUUUAAAUGUUAGGGAAAUCAGACUAAUGUCUGUGUAUUGUACACAUCUGGCCCUUUAUUUACUUUUUUCAGAUUUCUCUGUUGGUUGGACAUUUUUGUGCCUUGAAACUGUAAAGACUUGGUUCUGAACAGUUGGACGUGGUAUUGGCCCCGCCU